rnacentral:rRNA from 1 species
ACGAACGCUGGCGGCGUGCUUAACACAUGCAAGUCGAACGGAAAGGCCUCUUUCGGGGGGUACUCGAGUGGCGAACGGGUGAGUAACACGUGAGUAACCUGCCCUUGACUUUGGGAUAACUUCAGGAAACUGGGGCUAAUACCGGAUAGGAGCUCCUGCUGCAUGGUGGGGGUUGGAAAGUUUCGGCGGUUGGGGAUGGACUCGCGGCUUAUCAGCUUGUUGGUGGGGUAGUGGCUUACCAAGGCUUUGACGGGUAGCCGGCCUGAGAGGGUGACCGGCCACAUUGGGACUGAGAUACGGCCCAGACUCCUACGGGAGGCAGCAGUGGGGAAUAUUGCACAAUGGGUGGAAGCCUGAUGCAGCAACGCCGGGGGCGGGAUGACGGCCUUCGGGUUGUAAACCGCUUUCGCUCAUGACGAAGCUUUGUGUGACGGUAGUGGGUAAAGAAGCACCGGCUAACUACGUG